GGUUUGUGGCUCAGUGGUAGAGCACUUGCCUAGCAUGUGUGAGGCACUCAGCACCACAUAUAAAAAAAUAGAUAAUAAAGAUCCAUCAAUAACAAAAAUAUUUUUAAAAAGAAGGAAAAUUCUUUUCUUUACUAAAGAAAAAAGUCUUUAGUACAAACCUUAUUACAAACUG
rnacentral:tRNA from 1 species